rnacentral:rRNA from 1 species
UAUAGCAUUAUACCGUGAAACUGCGAAUGGCUCAUUAAAUCAGUUAUCGUUUAUUUGAUAGUACCUUACUACUUGGAUAACCGUGGUAAUUCUAGAGCUAAUACAUGCUGAAAACCCCAACUUCGGGAGGGGUGUAUUUAUUAGAUAAAAAACCAACGCCCUUCGGGGCUUCUUGGUGAUUCAUGAUAACUUAACGGAUCGCAUGGCCUUGCGCCGGCGACGGUUCAUUCAAAUUUCUGCCCUAUCAACUUUCGAUGGUAAGGUAUUGGCUUACCAUGGUUUCAACGGGUAACGGGGAAUUAGGGUUCGAUUCCGGAGAGGGAGCCUGAGAAACGGCUACCACAUCCAAGGAAGGCAGCAGGCGCGCAAAUUACCCAAUCCCGACACGGGGAGGUAGUGACAAUAAAUACUGAUACAGGGCUCUUUUGGGUCUUGUAAUUGGAAUGAGUACAAUUUAAACCUCUUAACGAGGAACAAUUGGAGGGCAAGUCUGGUGCCAGCAGCCGCGGUAAUUCCAGCUCCAAUAGCGUAUAUUAAAGUUGUUGCAGUUAAAAAGCUCGUAGUUGAACCUUGGGUCUGGCUGGCAGGUCCGCCUCACCGCGUGUACUUGUCCGGCCGGGCCUUCCUUCUGGAGAACCUCAUGCCCUUCACUGGGCGUGUUGGGGACCAGGACUUUUACUUUGAAAAAAUUAGAGUGUUCAAAGCAGGCCUUUGCUCGAAUACGUUAGCAUGGAAUAAUAAAAUAGGACGUGCGGUCCUAUUUUGUUGGUUUCUAGGACCGCCGUAAUGAUUAAUAGGGACAGUCGGGGGCAUCAGUAUUCAAUUGUCAGAGGUGAAAUUCUUGGAUUUAUUGAAGACUAACUACUGCGAAAGCAUUUGCCAAGGAUGUUUUCAUUAAUCAGUGAACGAAAGUUAGGGAUCGAAGACGAUCAGAUACCGUCGUAGUCUUAACCGUAACUAUGCCGACUAGGGAUCGGGCGAUG